AUUGUUACAUUGUUCUGUUUACUAUUGUUGUUAUUAAUAUCUUACGGUGCCUAACUUAUAAAUUAACUUUACCAUAGGUAUGUAUGUACAGGAAAAAGCAUAGUAGAUAGAGGGUUGAGUACUAUCUGUAGAUUCAGGCAUCCACUGGGGGGUUUUGGAAUGUUAUUUCAUAAGGAGGAACUACUGUGUAUUCAUUGAUUACUACUAUUUACCAAUUACCACUUUCAACGUAUAUUUCGUGAUUCCCCAGGUACUAAGUAUACGGUAGUAAGAGACCAUUCCUGAAGCUUAUAUUCUAGAGAAUGAGCAGAAAUUAAUCAAAUAGUCACUCAUACUCAAAUUGGAUCAUGACAUGUAACACAUAAAAGCAAUCAUGAAUACAUGUUUUAGAGAUCUGUGAUCUAUCUCAGGGGUUCAGGAAAAGCUUUUCCGAGAAGUGCCAUGGUGCUUCUCAGUAGAUUGAAUUCUAGAAGGAUGUUCAGGCAGAAGGUAGGUUGUGUAUAAGGCACUGAAGCAGGAAGGAGCUACAUCUUUGGGAAGUGGAGUGGAAGCCAGUGUGGCUAGAGGUUAGCCAACACAGGCCAGUAAGUCUGGAGGAGGCUGAGAAGACCGAAUGAGACCCCACAUCUUAAGGGCUUUUGGAGGUCACACUAAUAAGCCGUAUGACUUUAGGUAACCUUUCUAAGCCUCAGUUUUCUUACAAGGGAGAUAAUUUUCAAUAUCGAUAUGGUUUAGCUUUGCGUCCCCAUCCAAAUCUCAUCUUGAAUUGAAAUCCCCAUGUGCUCGGGGAGGGAGCUGGUGGGAGGUGAUUGGAUCAUGGAGGCAGAUUUUCCCCCAUGCUGUUCUCGUGAUAGUGAGUGAGUUUUCAUGAGAUCUGAUAGUUUAAAAGUGUUUGGCAGGUCCUCCCUCCAUCCCACUCCUGCUGCCAUGUAAGAUGUGCCUUGCUUCCCCUUUGCCUUCUGCCAUGAUUGUAAGUUUCCUGAGGCCUCCCCAGCCAUGCAGACCUGUGAGUCAACUAAACCUCUUUCCUUUAUAAAUCAUCCAGUGUCAGGUUCUUUAUAGCAGUGUGAAAACGAACGAAUACAAAUAUGCUAAAACUCAAGCCCUGACUUUUCCUCUGAGCUCUAAGUCAUCCAAUGCCAAUUUGAUGUAUUCAUUUUGAUACCAACAGGCAUAUUCAACUCAUUUUCACAACAGAAUUUCUGAUUCCUGCAGCUCCAUGCCCUGAAGUCUCCUCCUCAUCUACCUUCCCUCAUUUUAGUGAAUGUCUCCAUUCUUCCAUUGCUCCAGUCAAAAUCUCAGGAAUCAUCCUCCCUUUAUCACUGUCCCUCAUUUUCCAUAUGAAGUGAAUCUUGUUGGCUCUGAUGCCAAAAGAGAUCACAAAUUCAACCAUUUCCACCAUCUGCACUAUUGUCACUGUAAUCUCAGCCUACAUCUCUUCUCAUCUGUAUUACUGCAGUAGCCUAGCUGUCUCCCUGUAUCUACUCUUGUUCUUUUAUAAUCCAUUAUCCACUCAGAAGCCAGAAUGUGCUUUUUAUAAUGUAGAUUUUCAUGUCACCUCUCUAUUUAAAAUACUCCUGUAGUUUCUCACUACACUUAAAAUGAAGUCCAAACUCCUUAGAAUCACUGAAGAUCCUUGGAUGAGCGGUCUCUGCCUGCCUUUCUGAUAGCCUCUUGUACCUCCGCACUCAAUGUGCUCCAGACAUGCUGGCCUUCUGUUUGUUUCUCAAACAUGGCAAGCUCACUGCUGAUCUUUAUGGUAUCAGAUCCUGCUCAUCAACUGGUCUUCUGCCAAAAAACCAUAUUCUCAGAGAAGCUUCUCUGACCACCUAUCCCCAGCCCUCUGGCUGGAUAGUCACUCUCCCAUUACCUCAUUUGAGUUUCUCAAUAGCAACUACCAUUCUCUGAAAUUAUGUUUACUUAUGUCUUGCUGCCCUCAUUCCAACUUCCAAAUAUAAGCUCCGCAAGAGCAGGACCUUGUCAAUCUGAUCCUCCUUGCUUAGCAAAGUGGCAUAGAGUUGCAGUGCAAUUCAAAUAUUUGUUGGCUAAGUGAAUGAAUAUGUGGAUGAAACCACCUUAUAGGGGUCCCAUUCAUCUCAAGAGUCAGAAUCUGUUUGCCUGGACUGCAUAAUCUGGUUUCAUGGAUAAGACACACUGAAAGCUGUCAGUUUUUGACUAGACAAGUAUUUCAUUAAUGUAGACCAUUUCAAGGCCCAAAUCCAUUUCAAGUUUUGAGGACCCAAGUCCAUUGCCUUUAGUGCAAUUCGGGGACUACUCUCAACAUCAUAAUCUGUAUCAGUAAACUCAUCCAAAUUCAGUUAUUUCACCCUGCUGUGAGUUCCAUAAUAGUGGGUAACUUAUUCCCAUGAUCAACUUAAAACAAACAUAAAAGGACUCAGGAAAACCAUCUGUCAGAGAAGCACAUAAACUUUCAAGUAAUGGUUUAAAACAUCUAUUGAUUGCGCAAUGGAUGAUUUGUAAUUACAGAAUACGCAUUUGGUAAAUAGGUCUUUGUGGCCCUUUGAACUCUUUUUAUUGGGUUAACAGAUAAUUAGGGUCUGCUGUGUAGAUGCUCCAUAAUUGCUCCUUUGGAGCAGUUAAAGUUUGCGGAAUGGAUCCCCAGCUCUGCUAUUUCUUUGUUGCAUCCCUCCAGCUCCUAAUAGAGCUAGUGAGAAGAGCUGGGAGAGGCUCAACCUGGUAUUUAGGAGGCAGCUGUUUUGCAUUCAAGGUAGAUCCCAGAAGCAGCAACCUGGGUGGCAGGGAGGGCAGGAGAGAGAGUUGGUUCUAUAAUCCCGGAGGCUGUCCCAGCUGCCCCCGCCAGCCAGCCUUGGGCAUAGUGUAAAUUGCUGCUGCUUUCUCACCAUGUGUGGACCACCAACCUGAGCUGUGUGAGCCUCAGCACUUUCUUCUCUGGAUAUGUAAAGACCUAGAGUCCCAAGAGAGCACAGCCUGUUCAGGACCUGCUGCAAGAACAGCAUGCCUGAAGAAUAAGAGAGACUAACCUAUGAAAAAGCAAGGGCUAUGGAUCAAGUCUUCUUUGAAGUGCCCUGUGCACUUCAUGGUUCUGGAGAGAAUUAGAAAACUUCCAGGAGUUUCCAAGAAUGCUGAUAUCCAGUUCACCACUUUACCCACUGGUGAGGAGAAGAAAGUCAAAGGAAACCAUAUGUCUAGACCUUGGUCUCCACUGGUGACCUCUGUCCACCUUGACCCUUUCUCUAUCAGGUUGGAAGAAGCCUUGGAGAGCACACAGAAGCACUUCCUCCUUUUACAAACAAGAAAAGGGACAGAGUGACAACUUUAAAAAAAUCUACAUCUGAAGUUAGUUCUAUAGUUUCCUAUCUCCAGAAGAGGCAGAAAUGAACUCCACCAUGCCUAAAGUUUGGCUUGGCUGCAACCCUCCAGGGCAUCUUAUCACUGUUUUAUUGGAGUUGGAACGCGGCUGGAAUUGGAGUACAAAUUUCCUUCAGCAAGGAAAUGCUGGAGAAACAAGAGCAAGUUAACCUCCAAAUGGGUUCCAAGGCAACCGCUGUGUUGAAAUUUCACUUGGGUUCCCCUGGCUCUUUUUUACCUGCCUCUGCCAAAUUGUUGAUGCCCUCGCCUGUUGGAAAUGGAUGACUUUGAACAACGAGGGGCAAGGAGCCUCUCUUUUACUUCAGAACUACUACAGCAAGAAUUCAAACUCUUUGUUUUUGAGAAAAUAGCUCCUAAUGCUGUGUUGAUUUUAUCGUGUGCUUCAGAAAAAGACCCUUAAGGCUAAUUGAUAUGAACAUAUAGAGGCAGGCUGAGCUUACUAGAAUUUAUAUUACCUGAUGUGUUAAGCAUCAGGAAGCUAUUUAUGCUAGCCUAUAGCAGCAACCCGUUGUAUUUAGUGUGUUUGUGUGUACACACAUACCUGUGUAAAUCAAAAUGAAAGCUUGCUUUUGUGAUCUAGCACAAGUUUUGCCAUAUCAUAUAUACAUUUUUAACUUUUGGAAGCUAGAAGACAAUUGAUAGGCAUUUAACACGAAGAAAACAUGCAUUUAUAGUCAAUAUUAAUAGAAUAGAUGGUACUAAUCUAUAACAGUGAAAAAUAAAGAAGGUAGAGGAAGGAGGACAAAGACAGAGAGGAGACAGGGGGGAAAGGAGAAGACAGAAAAAAGAAAACAUCAAAACAAGGACUGCUCUGAGAGCCACAACUGAGUUUUAUGCUUCUUGCUGUCAUCUUUCUCUAACCUUAAAGGGCAGAAAGCAAUUGGGAGAACUAACCUGCACUUAGAUUUCAGCUUCCAUAGGAUGUUACAUUCUCAGGGUCUAUUAAAUCGAUUGGACUUUGACCUUAGCUUCCACGAAGUCCUUACCUUUUGACUGGGGCUGAGAGGUCUGAUUUAACCUCAUGGAAUUUGUAUUUUUUGGAGGAACUCCUGCCUCGUCCGUACAUGGUGAAACCCCCAACAGCAGCAUUUUUAAUUUCCAGAUUCUCAGCAGACACAAUGCACAGACUGUAGAAAACACCUGCUCAUCCGGACCGCUCAGCUCACAGGCUCCUUCCUCAGGGGAGCAUCUGAUGCUCCAGACAAGGCAGACCCUCUUCUUAUACUCUUGUGACCUCUUAGACUUUUCUUUUGUAGCACUUACUGCAGACUCUAAUCAUAUAUUUAUGUUGUGAUUGUUUAUGCAAUGGUUUUCUUCCUAACUAGGCUCUGAGUUCCAUGAGAGUUGCAAUGUCUGCAUCCCUUACGCUUGUUGAUAUACUGCACUGUGCCCAGUACCUAAGUAAUUGCUCAAUAAAUAUUUGUUAAAUG